UUCUUACUUACAAAUCGAGGUUAAAGGGAAUAAGAGGUUCUUCUCCAUUUUUUGAAAUGCCACAAAAGAGAAGUUUGAACUUCUAUCAGAUUUUUCGCAUGGAAACUUGCUCGCAUAAAUUGGAAAUUCCAUCGUGCACGGAAUCAGAGAGAAGAGAUUUGAAAAUGAGGGUUUUACUGAGGAAUCGAGAAAAGAAAGUUUGGUUGGUCGAGAUAUCAAAAAUUCGAGGUGCUAUGUUUUUCGAGAAUGGAUGGGAAAAAGUGGUGAAGGAUAAUUGUGUCACUGAUGGAGACCAAUUGUUUUUUAUCUAUAAAGAUUAUGAUGUGUUUGACUUCUUUGUAGUUGGCCCAUUCUGCUCUGAAAAGAUAGGGGUGGAAGGUGAACGUGCUAGAGUGGUAGAGGUUAUAAGAAAGGAAAGUGGUGAUGAGAGUCGAGAUAUAUUUGUUUUGGUGGCAAAUAUCUGUAAAUGUGUCAAGGAAUAUGUUAAGAAAUAAGAGGAUUCAGAUAUAGAUACAUGUAUUAGUGUCAAUAAGGAUGUUAAGAAAGAAGAGUAUACGGAUUCGGAUGCAAAUGCAAGAGAUGAGAAUGAUGAUGAUCAUCAUAGUAUAGUAGUUACCCAGGAUUAUAUGGAUGCAACAGAAGAGGAGGACAAUGAUAAUGAUGAUGAUCAUACACUUCCCUAGGACAAAAAAUUCGGGUCAAGUGGAUCCAAAAAAGCUAUUCCUGACCAUUAUGGACUAGAUCUUUUUCUAUCAGGGCAUUAUAUUCAACUUGAGAAUGCUUAUUUCGUGAUGAGAAUUAGACAAAAAAGGCGUGGUGAUCUGUAUGUUCUAAAGGAAAUGAUCAGGGAUUACAAUCUUCAAUUACCUUCAACUGUGACUCUGCGUGACGCGAAAGGCAGAGAGUGGAAAACAAUUGUAAAGGUUUGGGCUGAUGGUCGAACAUGGUUGUCUGGGGGAUGGCGAGGCCGCCUAUGCAGAAAGAACCUCAUUGGGGAAGAAGAUCAGUGCAUUUGUGAGUUCCUGCCUUCUGAAUUGGGGAAUGAUGAAGAUAAUAUUGUGUUGCAGGUUACGGUUAUCAAAGAGGAUGGCCCCUUGCAAAUGAGGAAUGAAGAUGAAGAUAUAUAGAUAGAGCACACCUAGUUUGGUUAUAACCGAUUAGCUUUCAAUUUGUUGGGUUUUUAAAUUUGGCCUGGACUGGGGGGCCUAGAAUAAGAUGCAUACAUGCAUGCUGUUGUUACAUACUUCAAUUGACAUAAUGUUUUGUUUUGGUGAAUGGUGAUGGACUGCAUAUCUCAUUUAAUUGUGUUUCUUUCAAUUCAGAUCUAUUCUGGUUUUUAA